rnacentral:rRNA from 1 species
GCCAUGCAUGUCUCAGUACGUGCCGUAUUAAGGUGAAACCGCGAAUGGCUCAUUAAAUCAGUUAUGGUUCCUUGGAUCGUACUACAUUUACUUGGAUAACUGUGGUAAUUCUAGAGCUAAUACAUGCAAACUGGAGUUCCGACCAGAGAUGGAAGGAACGCAAUUAUUAGAUCAAAACCAAUCGGUGGCGGGCUCACGCUCGUCCAUCGUUGAUUUUGAUGACUCUGGAUAAUUUACCGCUGAUCGCACGGUCCUAGUACCGGCGACGGAUCUUUCAAAUGUCUGCCUUAUCAACUUUCGAUGGUAGGCUCUGAGCCUACCAUGGUUGUAACGGGUAACGGGGAAUCAGGGUUCGAUUCCGGAGAGGGAGCCUGAGAAACGGCUACCACAUCCAAGGAAGGCAGCAGGCGCGCAAAUUACCCACUCCCGGCACGGGGAGGUAGUGACGAAAAAUAACGAUACGGGACUCAUCCGAGGCCCCGUAAUCGGAAUGAGUACACUUUAAAUCCUUUAACAAGGAUCCAUUGGAGGGCAAGUCUGGUGCCAGCAGCCGCGGUAAUUCCAGCUCCAAUAGCGUAUAUUAAAGUUGUUGCGGUUAAAAAGCUCGUAGUUGAAUCUGUGUGUCACGAUGUUGGUUCACCGCUCGCGGUGUUAACUAGCAUGACGUGGGACGUCCUACCGGUGGACUUAGCUCUACGGAGCGGUCCUAAUAUUCCCAUCGUGAUGCUCUUUAUUGAGUGUCAUUGUGGGCCGGUACGUUUACUUUGAACAAAUUAGAGUGCUUAAAGCAGGCUUUACAAAAAUGCCUUGAAUACAAUGUGCAUGGAAUAAUGGAAUAGGACUUCGGUUCUAUUUUGUUGGUUUUCGGAACACCGAAGUAAUGAUUAAUAGGGACAGAUGGGGGCAUUCGUAUUGCGACG